rnacentral:rRNA from 1 species
UACGUAGGGGGCAAGCGUUGUCCGGAUUCAUUGGGCGUAAAGAGCGUGUAGGCGGCCAGGUAGGUCGGUUGUGAAAACUGGAGGCUCAACCUUCAGAGGUCGACCGAAACCAUCUGGCUAGAGUCCGGGAGAGGAGAGUGGAAUUCCUGGUGUAGCGGUGAAAUGCGCAGAUAUCAGGAAGAACACCAGUGGCGAAGGCGGCUUACUGGCCCAUUACUGACGCUGAGGCUCGAAAGCGUGGGGAGCAAACAGG